UGGAAGAAUAACGGGAGCAUGGAGAAACACUGUCUUUGCCGAUGCCCCAACUCAGUCUUCUCCUCUGUACAGAUCCAUCAAGUUCCAGGCAUGACACGUGAUUGGCCUUAGUCCAUGGUGGAUGAAUGAACGACAUUCCCUGCACUCUCACCACUGAAUGUCAUGUGACCAGCCAUGAACCAUAAACCUGAACUUUGAGCAACUCAGUGGCAUCCUACAAUGAUCUUUGGCCCUUAUAUUUAUGAGUUUGUUUGUUUGGUUCAAAACCAUAAAGACACUAAGAGCUUCUUUGUCUAAGCUUUAUAUAUAACAGAGGAAUCUGCAGGAAAGAUUUCUCUUCUCAUAAACUCCACCCCAUCUGAAGUCCCUUUUCCCUUGUGCCCCGCGAUGCACCAACUCUACCUGGAAAAGGAUAGAGUGCUAAGUUCCUGCUCCCUCCUUGCAUCUCGCAUAUUCCAAGAUUGCAGGUAUUUGCUGAAUGCCAGUAGCAUUCUACUAGCAAUCCACUGAUGCAUAAUGAAUUACCAAAACUUAGCAGCUUGAAACGGCAAAGAUUUUUCUCAAAAUGAACAAGUUCUCUGUGGGUCUAGAAUCCAGGAGUGGAUGAGCUGGGUCACUCAUGAAGUUGGAAUCAAUCAACCAGGACGCAGUCAUGGGACAGUUCAACAGCGUCCCCCAAGCUCCCCCACAUGGCAUUGGCUCUAAGUUCCUCUCUGGCUGUUGGUUUGAGGCCUUAGUGUCUUCCCACCAAGGCCUCUCCCUAGAGUGGCAGCCAGCUUACCCAGAAGCCAG
rnacentral:lncRNA from 1 species